CGAGCGCAGGAAGCGAGUGGAUCCCCUUCGGGGGUGAAGCUCGUGGAAUGAGCGGCGGACGGGUGAGUAACACGUGGGCAACCUGCCUGUAAGAUCGGAAUAACUCCGGGAAACCGGAGCUAAUGCCGGGUAACACCUUCUUUCGCAUGAAGGAAGGUUAAAAGAUGGCUUCUCGCUAUCACUUACAGAUGGGCCCGCGGCGCAUUAGCUAGUUGGUGAGGUAACGGCUCACCAAGGCGACGAUGCGUAGCCGACCUGAGAGGGUGAUCGGCCACACUGGGACUGAGACACGGCCCAGACUCCUACGGGAGGCAGCAGUAGGGAAUCUUCCGCAAUGGACGAAAGUCUGACGGAGCAACGCCGCGUGAACGAUGAAGGUCUUCGGAUCGUAAAGUUCUGUUGUUAGGGAAGAACAAGUACCGUGCGAAUAGAGCGGUACCUUGACGGUACCUAACGAGGAAGCCCCGGCUAACUACGUGCCAGCAGCCGCGGUAAUACGUAGGGGGCAAGCGUUGUCCGGAAUUAUUGGGCGUAAAGCGCGCGCAGGCGGUUCCUUAAGUCUGAUGUGAAAGCCCACGGCUCAACCGUGGAGGGUCAUUGGAAACUGGGGAACUUGAGGACAGAAGAGGAGAGUGGAAUUCCACGUGUAGCGGUGAAAUGCGUAGAUAUGUGGAGGAACA
rnacentral:rRNA from 1 species